rnacentral:rRNA from 1 species
UACGUAGGUGGCAAGCGUUGUCCGGAUUUAUUGGGUUUAAAGGGUGCGUAGGCGGUUCCAUAAGUCAGUGGUGAAAUACGGCAGCUCAACUGUCGAGGUGCCAUUGAUACUGCGGAACUUGAGUACUGAUGAGGUAGGCGGAAUUGACGGUGUAGCGGUGAAAUGCUUAGAUAUGACAUAGAACACCUAUUGCGAAGGCAGCUAACUACGCAUAUAUUGACGCUGAGGCACGAAAGCGUGGGGAUCAAACAGG